UACAGAGGGUGCGAGCGUUAAUCGGAAUUACUGGGCGUAAAGCGCGUGUAGGCUGCUCGGAAAGUCGGAUGUGAAAGCCCUGGGCUUAACCUAGGAAGUGCAUUCGAAACUUCCGAGCUGGAGUUCUGGAGAGGAAGGCGGAAUUCUCGGUGUAGAGGUGAAAUUCGUAGAUAUCGAGAGGAACACCGGUGGCGAAGGCGGCCUUCUGGACAGUGACUGACGCUGAGACGCGAAAGCGUGGGGAGCAAACAGG
rnacentral:rRNA from 1 species